rnacentral:rRNA from 1 species
ACACAUGCAAGUCGAGGGGCAGCGGGAUUGAAGCUUGCUUCAAUUGCCGGCGACCGGCGCACGGGUGAGUAACGCGUAUCCAACCUUCCGUACACUCAGGGAUAGCCUUUCGAAAGAAAGAUUAAUACCUGAUGGUAUGAUGAGAUUGCAUGAUAGCAUCAUUAAAGAUUCAUCGGUGUACGAUGGGGAUGCGUUCCAUUAGGUAGUAGGCGGGGUAACGGCCCACCUAGCCUACGAUGGAUAGGGGUUCUGAGAGGAAGGUCCCCCACAUUGGAACUGAGACACGGUCCAAACUCCUACGGGAGGCAGCAGUGAGGAAUAUUGGUCAAUGGACGAGAGUCUGAACCAGCCAAGUAGCGUGAAGGAUGAAGGUCCUACGGAUUGUAAACUUCUUUUAUAAGGGAAUAAAACCUCCCACGUGUGGGAGCUUGUAUGUACCUUAUGAAUAAGCAUCGGCUAACUCCGUGCCAGCAGCCGCGGUAAUACGGAGGAUGCGAGCGUUAUCCGGAUUUAUUGGGUUUAAAGGGAGCGCAGACGGGUCGUUAAGUCAGCUGUGAAAGUUUGGGGCUCAACCUUAAAAUUGCAGUUGAUACUGGCGUCCUUGAGUGCGGUUGAGGUGUGCGGAAUUCGUGGUGUAGCGGUGAAAUGCUUAGAUAUCACGAAGAACUCCGAUUGCGAAGGCAGCACACUAAGCCGUAACUGACGUUCAUGCUCGAAAGUGUGGGUAUCAAACAGGAUUAGAUACCCUGGUAGUCCACACGGUAAACGAUGGAUACUCGCUGUUGGCGAUAUACUGUCAGCGGCUUAGCGAAAGCGUUAAGUAUCCCACCUGGGGAGUACGCCGGCAACGGUGAAACUCAAAGGAAUUGACGGGGG